rnacentral:misc_RNA from 1 species
GAUGAAGAACGUAGCGAAAUGCGAUAAGUAGUGUGAAUUGCAGAAUUCAGUGAAUCAUCGAAUCUUUGAACGCACAUUGCGCCCUUUGGUAUUCCUUAGGGCAUGCCUGUUCGAGCGUCAUUUAAACCUUCAAGCUCAGCUUGGUGUUGGGUGACUGUCCGCUUCACCGCGGACUCGCCUCAAAAUUAUUGGCGGCCGGUACAUUGGCUCUCGAGCGCAGCAGAAACGCGUAACUCGAGGUCCUCGUGCUGGCUCCCAGAAGCUAUCUUCACAAUAUUGACCUCGGAUCAGGUAGGGAUACCCGCUGAACUUAAGCAUAUCAAUAAGCGGAGGA